rnacentral:rRNA from 1 species
UACCAGCCCCCUGAGUGAUAGGGACGAUUAUUUAGCCUAAAGCGUCCGUAGCCGGUUUAGAAAGUCUUCCGUUAAAUCUGACAACUUAAUUGCCAGGCUUCGAAGGAUACUGCUAGACUAGAGGGCGGGAGAGGUUGACGGUAGUCCCGGAGUAGGGGUGAAAUCCUAUAAUCCCGGGAGGACCACCAGUGGCGAAGGCGGUCAACCAGAACGCGCCUGACGGUGAUGGACGAAAGCUGGGGGAG